GUGCGUGAUUUUAAAUGACCUAACUUGUACUGCAUCCCCUCGUCUCCGUGCAUUUGUAUCGACUUCGAUAACCCACGUAUAGUAUAUGACUAUAAUAGUAAUUAUACAUAUAGCAUAAAGUCACAACAUGGUGUCAGAAGACGGAGUCACGGAAUAAUUUGCGGAUGGUAUUUUAAAAGUUAGCUAAAAAAAAAGUGCUAGCACGUGCGAACAUGGAGCAGUUCAAGCCGCCACCACCGUUGAUACUUACUGGGAAUAUAGCUGAAAACUGGAGAAGAUGGGAACAACGUUUCCAGCUGUAUAUGAUCGCUUCAGGUGCGUUGGAUAAGGAAGAGACGGUUAAAAUAGCCAUUCUGCUGCAUACUGUCGGCGAGGAGGCGCUAGAAGUGUAUAACACGCUCAGCAUCAUCCCAGAAGGAGAUGAAGAAACAAUGGAGGAAGUUCUCCAAGCCUUCACGGACUACUGCAGCCCCCGAAAGAACGUGGUUUUCGAACGCCAUCAAUUCUGGCCACACGUGAUGUCAGCAGGAAUAUCGGUGGACAGAAGAGCAAAGACUGAGUUUGUCAGAAAUGAAGAUGACAUGAUUUGGGAUAAAUGAGUGUUUCGCAUAAACGAUAUUCGUCUGAAGGAGAGACUGUUGCGUGAUAAUGCGCUCACUUUGCGCGGAGCCAUGGACACGUGCAGAUCAGCAGAGCUCGCUAAGUGACAAAUACAAGCGAUGCAGACGUCACAGGUUGUCCAAGACACCUCAGUAGAUGCUUUAAGGAAAGCAACAGGGCAAACGUGCACGGGCAGCUGGAACAAGAGCAAAACCAGCAGCAAGAGGCACGUAACGACUGUCUGCCAUAAAUGUGGAAACAAGCGCGAGCCCCGUCAGUGCCCAGCUUAUGGUGCAGUGUGCCAUAAAUGUGGAGAGCUCACGUCCUGCCUCUGGUCCAGUCAUCCCCUGCAUCACUUGUCAGAAGGAAGUUCCCUUUUCAGAGGUGAAGCUCCACAGAUUGAGCUGCAAUGGGACACCCAUGCAGGAAAGAGAACAAGAGGGAGGCCAAAGGGAAGAAAAUGAUAGUGAGACAGCCCUAGUCAGUGACAGUGUUCCAGUGAGGUCUGAAACAUCAGCUGAGAGUGCAGUAGUUCCAGCAGUGAUUGUCAACGAGGAGUUGGAUCGCAAAGAAACAGUCGUUGUGACAGAUUUUGGGAAACCACUUAGAAUGAAGAUGGAUGUAAGGGAGUCUGAAGAGGACCGGGAACGGGAGCUUCUCUUAUUCUAUAAACAGCAGCAAGAAUGGGCAUGUCCUCUUCAUUGUACUCUGGUUGGUGAUGUUGCUGUUGGAGAGGGAGUGAUGCGGUACUUUAUGACAACAAUCAUAUCCAAACUCCAGUUUGGAUUCAGUCUAGAUCUUGGAGGAAUGGGCCGAACACUGCUAUUUGAGGGUGAACCUGACCAUCUUGUUCCAGCAGCAUCAGAGGCACUUAUUGAAAGCAACCUCUUCUGGGUUGCAGGAAGGAUGUUGGCCCACACCUUUCUGCAUGACGGUCCCCAUGUCACAGGAUUAAGUCCUGCUGUAAUUCAUGUACUGUUCAAUGGGGACCCUGAAAUGGCUACUGUUGUUGUUGAAGACUGUCCUGAUCUGCACAUCAGGAGCAUCAUAGAACUUUUAUGUAACCUAAAAGAAACUUUGCCAUGUAAAAAAUAUUGCUUGGGCAGAUAUAAUAAAUAGUAUGGUCCUUAUUCUAUCUUGAACAAGAAGAACUUGUUCUUGGAACAGAAAGAAACAGUUUCAGAUCUUUCCAUGUCUUGGGAUCAUCCGGCAGUCACCAAAACAAAUCGGAGAUGGCUACAUAAUAAACUUCUACUCCAUGCAGUCGUUGGGAGGACCAUGCGCCAAAUUAAACAGUUGACAAAGGGACUGAAAGAUGUGAUGGUAUGGCCCCUGCUGACAUCUAGGCCAGAUGUUGUCCCACUUCCUUUCCCCAAAAUGGCUGAAAUGCAGUUCACACCCCAGAUGCUCCUAGAAAAAUCACAUGGCCAGUUGAGGACAGUGAUGAUGAAGACUUUGACUUGGACACCACCUGCCGCUUCACUGGCUUUCUAAGGAUGUUCAUUGAAACAGCUUCAUCAGGUACCCUGGCCCAGCUGCUGACAUUCUGGGUUGGCUGGGAGAUGCUUCCUCCUGAACUGACAGUGGAGAUUUCUGAGGGAACCCUUCCUAUGUCCUCCACAUGCUUUGAAACACUAAACCUGCCAUCCAUCCAUCCAUCCAUCGUCAAACCGCUUAUCCUGCAGACAGGGUCGCGGGGGGGCUGGAGUCCAUCCCAGCCAACUUUGGGCGAUAGACCGGGUACAUCCUGGAUUGGUCGCCAGCCAAUCGCAGGGCUAACACAGAGACAUACAAUCAUUCACACUCACACAUCUACGGGCAAUUUAAAGUCCCCAAUUAACCUGAUCCCCAGAGCAUGUCUUUGGACUGUGGGAGGAAGCCGGAGUACCCGGAGAGAACCCACGCAGACACGGGGAGAACAUGCAGACUCCACACAGAAAGGCCACUGGGCAGAGUCAAACCCAGGACCUUCUUGCUGUGAGGCGACAGUGCUAACCACCACGCCACCGUGCCGCCUAAACCUGGCAGCUCAUUUCAAAAUCUACAUGGACUUUGAGAAAGCACUUGUCGCUGCUAUAAAAAGUACUGGAUUUGGGCUUGUUUAAGUUUUUUCAGACAGAUGUCAAUUAGGGCAGGGCAAUAUUUCAAUAUUAUAUCUAUUGUGAUUUUGAAGCGUAAUAUUGUUACAUGGUAAGUUUAGUCUUUUCCUGGUUUCAAAGGCUGCAUUACAGUAAAGUGUCAUUUUCUGAAUUUACCAGACUGUUCUAGCUGUUCUAUUAUUUGCCUUUAACCACUUAGUCAUUAUAUGCACAUUAUGAUGGUUAUUUUUCAGAAAUUUAAAUGUGGAAGAUAUUUUGUGAAUGAAUCAAUUGUCAACCAUACAAUAUCGUCAUUGAGGUGUUUGGUCAAAAAUAUUGUGAUAUUUGAUUUUCUCCAUAUUGCCAGCCCUAAUGUCAAUGCCUACACUGUUCAGAUGAAUUGACACAAGUUCAGUGUCUUUGAAAACUUUGAUUAACACACUGUGCACAGUAGUUGACUUUUUAUUUUAUUUUUAUUCUGCACAU
ensembl:lncRNA